GCUUACGGCCAUACCACCUUAGGCACGCCCGAUCUCGUCUGAUCUCGGAAGCUAAGCAGGGUCGGGCCUGGUUAGUACUUGGAUGGGUGACCGCCUGGCCUGGGAAUACCAGGUGCUGUAAGCA
ensembl:rRNA 5S_rRNA 5S ribosomal RNA